rnacentral:rRNA from 1 species
GACGAACGCUGGCGGCGUGCCUAAUACAUGCAAGUCGAGCGAACAAACGAGGAACUUGUUCCUCUUACGUGAGCGGCGGACGGGUGAGUAACACGUGGAUAACCUACCUAUAAGACUGGGACAACUUCUGGAAACCGAAGCUAAUACCGGAUAAUAUCUUUAAACACAUGUUUCAAUAUUGAAAGACGGUUUUGCUGCAACUUAUAGAUAUAUCCGCUCGGCAUUAGCUAGUUGGUAAGGUAACGGCUUACAAAGGCAACGAUGCGAGCCCGACCUGAAGGGGUGAUCGGCCAAAUGGGAACGGAGACACGGUCCAGACUCCUACGGGAGGCAGCAGUAGGGAAUCUUCGGCAAUGGGCGAAAGCCUGACGGAGCAACGCGGCGUGGGGGAGGAAGUUCUUCGGAUCGUAAAACUCUGUUAUUAGGGAGGACCAAAUGUGUAAGUAACUAUGCACGUCUUGACGGUACCUAAUCAGAAAGCCACGGCUAACUACGUG